rnacentral:lncRNA from 1 species
CAUUCCAACCAGCCAUGAAUUCAUCAUGAAAACAUGUAAUUUAACCAUGGAAAAUGAGGAGAAAUGCAUGGGAAAGGUAGAUCACAAGUCAAAAUCAAGAAAUUUUACCUUUUGUCACUUGUUUCCUUGAAUUUCCCACACUUUUCUCUUGAAAUUCUUCACCUAGGGUUUUUGUUUUUCUUUUCUCCCUUUGUUCUUCUUUGUUCUCGGUUUGGCCGGCCAUAUGAAA